ensembl:lncRNA
UAUAUAUAUAUAUAUAUAUAUAUAUAUAUAUAUAUAUCCAUUGAUACUUGAAGAACAUAACUUAUAAAUGCCUCAUGAGCUUAGUUCAACUGUCACACUCCAUGAGAACCCAAAACAUAAGCUUGUUUUACGCCAAUGUUUGUAACAUGGUUAAAACUAUACUUUUUAUAUAAUGGAUGGCCAGUCCUUGCAUCCAUAGCUCUGUCUAUUCAUCUGAGAGUGGUUAUAAUUCUCCAGGCCCAUCCCUCAUCUUUUUACCAAAACAGAGGCGGGGUGACGUUUUGUUAUUGUUUCAUCUGUGCAUUUGCCCUUUAAUAAAUCCUCUACUGACUCCCCAUCCCACAUGCGGGACCGUAAUCAUCGCCUGACACUAAUUAGCAUAACGCAACGGACAUAAAUAUCCCUAGAAAAUAUUCCUAUUCAUGAAAAUCACAAUUGAAAUAUAUUGAGAUUUUUUGUUAAUCACCCUGUCAUCUCAGAUUUUCAGAUUUUCUAAAUAUACUUUACAGCCAAAGCUAGACAAGCAUUAAGUUUAUCGAUAGCCUAGCAUAGCAUUUUGUCCAGCUAGCAGCAGGUAACUUGGUCACGGAAAUCAGAAAAGCAAUCAAAUUAAAUUGUUUACCUUUGAGGAGCUUUGGAUGUUUUCACUCACGAGACUCCCAGUUAGAUGGCAAAUGUUCCUUUUUUCCAAAAAUAUUAUUUUUGUAGGUGAAAUAGCUCCGUUUGUUCUUCACGUUUGGCUGAGAAAUCGCCUGGAAAUUGCAGUCACGAAACGGCGAAAAAUAUUCCAAAUUAGCUCCAUUUAUAUAUCGACAGAAACAUGUCAAACGUUGUUUAUAAUCAAUCCUCCUCAUAUCUAUUCGAUAAUACAUCCAUCGGGACAAUUCGUUUUUCAGUAGGACCGAUUGGAGUAAUGGCUACCUCUGUAUUUUACGGAGAAUGUCUCUGGGGGCAUCAGGUGAACACAGACCACUUACACAAUCUAGCCGCCUACGGCUAUUCUUCAACAUAAAUGCGUAAAACUACGUCACAAUGCUGUAGACACCUUGGGGAAUACGUAGAAAGCGUAAUCUGGUUGAUGGCUUAUUCACAGCUCAAUAGGGACUCAUUGGAACGCAGCACUUUUAAAAUAUGGGGCACUUCCGGAUUGGAUUUUUCUCAGGCUUUCGCCUGCAACAUCAGUUCUGUUAUACUCACAGACAAUUUCUUUACAGUUUUGGAAACGUUAGAUUGUUUUCUAUGUCAAUUAAAUGCAUAUUCUAGCAUCUUGUCCUGACAAAAUAUCCUGUUUAAAACGGGAACGUUUUUUUUCCAAAAAUGAAAAUACUCCCCCUAGAGUCGCAACAGGUUUUAAACAGCUGCAAAUUAUCAAGAUAUCAAAGUGUCUCCAAAUAAAAGGCUAACAAAAGGCCUAUAGCAAAUGCAGCAGCAUAUGGCAUUAAUUUUUCACAUGUAAAUAGCACUUUUCAGUAGUGCUCAAAGCAUGCCAUUCCAUGAGUGCAGCAUUUCUUUUUCAACUCGAAUCAAUGAGCCCAAUCAGUCCUUCAUGACAACAGAGUAGGGUUGGCUAAUAUAUCCUUAGUUUUGGGGUCAUGCUCAGGUAAAACAAUUAGGCUAAUCUAUACUUCCAAGUGGUGUAACAUUUAUUUGGCAUAAUUUAAUCGUAUUAUUAUAUGUAGUAGAAAGUGCUGGGUUAGAAGAAGCACACAUAACCAACCCAUAAAGUAAAAUGUAACAUCCUUAUAUGGCCAGCUAGGUAAACUUUAACAUUGAUUUAUCCUGCAAUAGAUGUCGUUAAAUUGGUAACAUACAUUUUGUCUUCUUCUAAUGCCUCUUAAAGGGAAAGUAAUCUAAAAGUAACAGAAUGUAAUCAGAUUGCGUUACUGACUUUGGGUAAUCAAAAAGUUACGUUACUGAUUACAAUUUCGGACAGGUAACUAGUAACUGGAACGGAUUAUAUUUAGAAAGUAAUCUACCCAACCCUGUGUAUAUGUGUGUGUGUGUGUGUGUGUGUGUGUGUGUGUGUGUGUGUGUGUGUGUGUGUAUAUAUAGCGUUCAAGCAGCAUCCUUUGAUUGUUUCAUGGCGACACAGCCCUUUGACAUCUCAUGGGUCAGAGAGGUGAUUACCACUCUGUUCCGUUCCUUCAUCAGCCAAACCUGAUGGCUUUCCCAACAUAUGAGUUCAUAUGAGUUCAUUGGGUUCGAUUGCCAGCAUUUCUUGCUCGUGAAUAUUUGCAGUAUUAAGACAUGUCAAUAAAACCAUUGCCUGGUGUGAACUUUAUGUGUACUGUUUUUUGUAGUUUCAUGUGGCAC